rnacentral:tRNA from 1 species
CCGUAGCUCAGUUGGAUAGAGCAGUAGAUUUCUAAUCUGAAGGUCCGAGGUUCGAGUCCUC